AUAGUCAUUACACCUCGAGGAUGACAAAGAUGAGAGUGUGGAAGAUUAACGAUCACAAAACUUACACCAAAAAGGGAAGCUUGUCUAUAUUAUAUGAAAAUCCCUUAUAAAAGGCAGUUCAUUAACCAAAAAUGCUUUAUACAUUCAGAUUUUCCCCAUCUCUCAACAGUGAUGGUUUCCAAAGAGAACACUCAGUAGUGAAGGCCACGCACUUGUUUUGCAUUAGUUUGAUACGCUGAAAAUCAGAACCUUUAAAGCAUCUUGUAAAUGGGAGAAAUGAAACUGGACCUGGGUAGGGGGCUGGGAUGGGAGUGAUCACAAUGAAUAUGUGACUUCGCUGUUGACGCACACAGCAAGGGAGCUGGUGGGAAAUGUUACAGCAGACCUGACCACUGCACAGAGGGUUGAUCAAGAACACAGUACAGGUAUCAAAAAAAACCAAAAAUCUGAAAACAAAAGUAAAAAACAAACUGCAACUUUGCCAACUUGUAAACAGGAAAAGCAUUUCACAGAUUCAAAGUUCAAGGGAAGUAAACGUUU
rnacentral:lncRNA from 1 species